GACGAACGCUGGCGGCGUGCUUAACACAUGCAAGUCGAACGGUAAGGCCCUUCGGGGUACACGAGUGGCGAACGGGUGAGUAACACGUGGGUGAUCUGCCCUGCACUUCGGGAUAAGCCUGGGAAACUGGGUCUAAUACCGGAUAGGACCACUGCCUGCAUGGGUGGUGGUGGAAAGCUUUUGCGGUGUGGGAUGGGCCCGCGGCCUAUCAGCUUGUUGGUGGGGUGAUGGCCUACCAAGGCGACGACGGGUAGCCGGCCUGAGAGGGUGACCGGCCACACUGGGACUGAGAUACGGGCCAGACUCCGACGGGAGGCAGCAGUGGGGAAUAUUGCACAAUGGGCGCAAGCCUGAUGCAGCGACGCCGCGUGAGGGAUGACGGCCUUCGGGUUGUAAACCUCUUUCAGCACCGACGAAGCGCAAGUGACGGUAGGUGCAGAAGAAGGACCGGCCAACUACGUGCCAGCCGCCACCGUAA
rnacentral:rRNA from 1 species